rnacentral:rRNA from 2 species
GUGACCCCAGGUCAGGCGGGACCACCCGCUGAGUUUAAGCAUAUCAAU